rnacentral:rRNA from 1 species
UACGGGGGGGGCAAGCGUUGUUCGGAAUUACUGGGCGUAAAGGGCUCGUAGGCGGCCAACUAAGUCAGACGUGAAAUCCCUCGGCUUAACCGGGGAACUGCAUCUGAUACUGGAUGGCUUGAGUUCGGGAGAGGGAUGCGGAAUUCCAGGUGUAGCGGUGAAAUGCGUAGAUAUCUGGAGGAACACCGGUGGCGAAGGCGGCAUCCUGGACCGACACUGACGCUGAGGCGCGAAAGCUAGGGUAGCAAACGGG